UACGGAGGGUGCGAGCGUUAAUCGGAAUUACUGGGCGUAAAGCGCACGUAGGCGGUCAUGUAAGUGGGAUGUGAAACCCCCGGGCUUAACCUGGGAAUUGCAUACCAGACUGCAAGGCUAGAGUAUGAGAGAGGGUGGUGGAAUUUCCGGUGUAGCGGUGAAAUGCGUAGAGAUCGGAAGGAACAUCAGUGGCGAAGGCGGCCACCUGGCUUAAUACUGACGCUGAGGUGCGAAAGCGUGGGGAUCAAACAGG
rnacentral:rRNA from 1 species